GAAUUUAAUAAUUAAUUUUUUUUAUAUUUUUAUAUUUAUUUAAUUAAAAUAUUAAAUGUUUUAUUAUAUUUUUGAAAAAAUUUAUUUUAUUAUAGUUUAAAGUACUGUGAGGGAAAAUUAAAAAAUAUUAAAAAGAAAAAUUUAAUUUUUGUACCUUGUGUAUCAGGGUUAAUUAAAAAAUAAUUUUUUAUUAAAUAUUCUCGAAUUUAAAAGAGCUAAUUAGUAAUAUAUUUUAUUGUAAAAUAAAUAUUUAAAAUUAUUAGUUAGAAAUGAAACGUUAUUCGUUUUUAAAUAUAUCUAGUUUUUAAAGAAAUGAAUUUAAUUCAUUUAUUGAUAAUUAAAAUUUUAAUUUUUUAAUUUUUUAUUAUCAAUAAGAAAUUUUUUUAGGGAUAAGCUUAAAAAAAAAAUUUUAUAAUAAAUUUAUUAUUUUAAUAAAUUAUAGGAUUAAAAAUUUCUAUAAAUAAAAAAUUGUUAUAAUUAAUUAUUUAUUUAAUAUUAUUUAUAUUUUAUUUAAAUAUUUUAUUUAAAUAUAGGUUUUAAUUUUAGAAUCUUAGAAAUAAUGAUUAAAUUAGUAUAAAUUUUUGUAAAUUUAAAUUAGUUUUUAAGGUUAAUUUAAGGAAUUCGGCAAAUUUAUUUUUCACCUGUUUAAUAAAAACAUGUCCUUUUGAAUAUAAUUUAAGGUCUAAUCUGCCCACUGAGUAUUUAAAUGGCCGCGGUAUUUUGACCGUGCAAAGGUAGCAUAAUAAUUAGUUUCUUAAUUAGAAGCUGGAAUGAAUGAUUGGAUGAGAAAAUAACUGUCUCAGGUUAAUUUUAUUAGAACUUUAUUUUUAAGUUAAAAAGCUUAAAUGUUAUUAAAAGACGAGAAGACCCUAUAGAGUUUAAUUUAAAUUAUUUAUAAAAAAGUAUAGAUUAAAAUUUUUAUAUAAUUAAUUUAAAUUUUGUUGGGGUGAUAGAAAAAUUUAAUUAACUUUUUUUGUAUAA
rnacentral:rRNA from 1 species